UACGUAGGGUGCGAGCGUUAAUCGGAAUUACUGGGCGUAAAGCGUGCGCAGGCGGUUUUGUAAGCCAGAUGUGAAAUCCCCGGGCUUAACCUGGGAAUGGCAUUUGGGACUGCAAGGCUGGAGUGCGGCAGAGGAGACUGGAAUUCCUGGUGUAGCAGUGAAAUGCGUAGAUAUCAGGAGGUACACCGAUGGCGAAGGCAGGUCUCUGGGCUGACACUGACGCUCAUGCACGAAAGCGUGGGUAGCAAACAGG
rnacentral:rRNA from 1 species